AUUGAACGCUGGCGGCAUGCUUUACACAUGCAAGUCGAACGGUAACAGGCCUUCGGGUGCUGUCGAGUGGUGAACGGGGGAGUAAUGCAUCGGAACGUACCCAGAGGUGGGGGAUAACGCAGCGAAAGCUGUGCUAAUACCGCAUGUGAUCUGAGGAUGAAAGCGGGGGAGCGAGCAACAAAGUUUGGCCUCGCGCCUUUGUAGCGGCCGAUGUCGGAUUAGCUAGUUGGUGAGGUAAAGGCCUACCAAGGCGACGAUCCGUAGCUGGUCUGAGAGGACGACCGGCCACACUGGAACUGAGACACGGUCCAGACUCCUACGGGAGGCAGCAGUAGGGAAUCUUGGGCAAUGGGCGAAAGCCUGACGCAGCAACGCCGCGUGAGGGAUGAAGGUCUUCGGAUCGUAAAACUCUGUUAGUAGGGAAGAACAGGUGUGUACGAAACCAGGCACGUAUUGACGGUACCUGAAGAGAAAGCAACGGCUAACUACGUG
rnacentral:rRNA from 1 species